CAAUCGGGCUACACGGCGCUGGCGGCGGGGUCAGGCGCGGCGCCCCGCACAAUGGGCGCGGCGCCCGAGCCCCUGACAGCGCCAUAAAUUGGCCGUGCAAAGCCGAGCGCUUGGUGGUCCCCCCUGCAGAAAAGAGCCGCCGCCGAGAGCGCGAAAAGGCGAGUCGGGGAGCCAGCCAGGGAGCGAGUGGCGCGUUUUCCACAUCACCUUGCUGGAACUUAGCGUGGCAGAGGCUUGGGGCUGCCAAACUCCUUGGCCAAUCAUGUUCUCCCCAAACUCGUGGAUUCCAAUUAAAUGAGUCCCAAAAGGAAUUGUUUGUGCAGCGAAGGAAUAAGAAAACGUGAUGUAUGGAAGAAUGAACACACAGCUGAGAGGCCCUGUUGCUGAGUGUGCUAAACAAUAGAGAACCUCUAUGGAUUCUCGCCUGCAAUCCUGGCUCCACCAUUAAUUCACUGUAUGCCUUUGGAAAAUUUAAAGUUAUAUACCUGGCUCACAUUUAUGGAAGCCACAGUGCUCAUGGGUGUCCUGACAAUUGAAUGCUGCAUCUCAUUGGGUAGAAUCAGUCACAUGACCCCACCCAAUAACAUGAAUACCAGAAGAUGCAAUCCCAUCAUGCACCUGGAAGGCAGCCAACGGGAAAUAGUUGUUGAGCAGUCCUAAUAAGUGCCACAGAAAGAGAAUGGAUGCAGAGAGGACAACUUUUGGAGAAUCAUCUAUCAAAAACGAUGUUCAAAAUUACUUGUCAUGGCCUUUGCUCAGGUCUGAAAACAACAUGUGUAAUACCGAUUUCAACUACAGAAAGGCAAGAUAACACAAAUCUUUCCAACCAUGGAAGGUUGUAAUGUUAAACUCCCAUUCAAGAUCAAAAUUCCACAUAUUUACAACCUGCAAACAUCCAAAAUUCACACUUCAACAUCUGUGUGGCUGCCAACUUCUACUGCAAUCUAUAGCAUGCUUUUUCAGAAGUGGAAGAAAAUGAAAAAAUCUUGAAACGAAGAUAAGAAUCAAGAAGAAUUCAUGUGCCAAAAGCACAAAUUCAAGACUGAGAGGGGAAAUCAGAGUCCUAAGCCCCAACUUGGAAUGACUUACUAGAUGAUUGUAGUGACAGAACCAUCUCUGCGCCGGCUCUCAUCUGACUCAGUGAUACACUAUGUGCUAACAGAGAUGAUUAUCCCAAGCAGCUAGUGAAUCAAAGCACAGUCUAAACCAAAAUCAAAGAAUGUGUCUGGCAGAGCAUCACAACUGCUAGAGGAUUUGCUGAACAAAGCUACCCAAAACUUUAAAAAAACUGCAGUGUUAAUCUAGUCACCCCUUACACCUAAAUGAUGACAGUGUGAUAUGAAAAACACCAAUUAUUAUGCUUUACAAGUCAGCAUGCUCAUCAGCAAAGGAUCUAAGUUAAAAUUAAUCCCCAUUGAUGUAGCAGACAAUAUCUAACUGGGGCCGUUUUUAAAAUAAAAAUAUGUAGACCGAACAAACUCAAACUUCUAACCAAAAACAAAGUGAUAAACAAGUUAAUCGAGUUACGAGGAAAACCAGUUAGAUCUGAUUUAAAACCACCAUUUUACUAACCCAAACUCUUACUGAGCUCUACUUACAUAAGCUCUGCCUUUUUCUCUCUCAGUAUGUCAGCUAUGGGUUGUUUCGUGGACUCUCACCAUCCUGAACAAUUUGCUUUCUAUUCCAGUCUGUUCUCAGCUGUCUGGCCCAGCACUAGUGUUUGCAGAGCUCGCUGAUACCGACCACCCCUCACACCACCCCCAUCCACUUUUUACUCUGAGCAUGCAUGGCUCUAAUCAGUUCUCCAUAACACAGAGAGACAGCUUCUUGUUUUUUCAGACAAACAUGUUAAUUGCCAUCACACUCACAGGCAGAAUGAAGGACUGUCUUUUUACCCUACUCAGUGCACCCUCCUAGAUGCAACACAAACUACAGCCUCCAUCUCGGAAACAAGUACAAGUCCCCUCUGCUCUGAACAGCACAUGCUCUUUCAAACAAAAACUCCCCAUGGCUUAAACAUACUCACCCACAACCCACAUACAUAUGCAUAUAAAGUGCUCCAUUACAAUGAUCUAUAAAAGUUAUUAUAUUGACCUUACUAGUUACAGAGAAAGUGCUGAAAGGGACUCAGAAACAUUAGUUCGGGCACCUGGAAGUAAUCAGUCUGGCAUCUUCUGAUGGGGGUAGCAUUUCUGAACUCUGUUAUCCUAUUUAAUCCUGCCACCAACGUUUUUGUCCCACCACUGUCUCUUGGGAAGCAGUGCAUUAUGAACAAAGAAAG